GUGAGUCAUCGAGUCUUUGAACGCACCUUGCACUUUUUGGAGUCUAUCCAAAAGUAUACCUGUUUGAGUAUCAUAAACAUUUAUCCAAGCAAUUGGGAUUUGAGGCUCAGUCGUCUGACGGCUGUUCCUUUAAAUGCAGUGAGGAUAUGGGUAGGCAGUGGCUUAUUUCCCAGUGAGGAUGUUUACAUUCGUGUAAAAUAAUCGCGAGGUUGUAGGAUCGUUGACUAUUCGAGUAUAUUCUCUGACUGCAUCGCAAGAUGCAAUUCUGUACAAAUGUGAUCUCAAAUCAAGGCAAGACUACCCGCCGAACUUAAGCAUAUCAAUAAGCGGAGG
rnacentral:rRNA from 1 species